AUUGCCCUAGUAACGGCGAGUGAAGCGGCAACAGCUCAAAUUUGAAAUCUGGCCCUCGGGUCCGAGUUGUAAUUUGUAGAGGAUGCUUUUGGUGCGGCGCCUUCCGAGUUCCCUGGAACGGGACGCCAUAGAGGGUGAGAGCCCCGUCUGGUUGGACGCCAAUCCUCUGUAAAGCUCCUUCGACGAGUCGAGUAGUUUGGGAAUGCUGCUCUAAAUGGGAGGUAUAUGUCUUCUAAAGCUAAAUACCGGCCAGAGACCGAUAGCGCACAAGUAGAGUGAUCGAAAGAUGAAAAGCACUUUGAAAAGAGAGUUAAAAAGUACGUGAAAUUGUUGAAAGGGAAGCGCUUGUGACCAGACUUGGGCUUGGUUGAUCAUCCAGGGUUCUCCCCGGUGCACUCUUCCAGCCCAGGCCAGCAUCAGUUCGCCGCGGGGGACAAAAGCUUCGGGAAUGUGGCUCCCUCGGGAGUGUUAUAGCCCGCUGCGCAAUACCCUGCGGCGGACUGAGGUUCGCGCUCCGCAAGGAUGCUGGCGUAAUGGUCACCAGUGACCCGUCUUGAAACACGGACCAAGGAGUCGUCUUCGUAUGCGAGUGUUCGGGUGUUAAACCCCUACGCGGAAUGAAAGUGAACGCAGGUGAGAGCUUCGGCGCAUCACCGACCGAUCCUGAUGUUCUCGGAUGGAUUUGAGUAAGAGCAUACGGGGCCGGACCCGAAAGAAGGUGAACUAUGCCUGUAUAGGGUGAAGCCAGAGGAAACUCUGGUGGAGGCUCGCAGCGGUUCUGACGUGCAAAUCGAUCGUCAAAUAUGGGCAUGGGGGCGAAAGACUAAU
rnacentral:rRNA from 1 species